rnacentral:rRNA from 1 species
GACGAACGCUGGCGGCGUGCCUAAUACAUGCAAGUAGAACGCUGAGGUUUGGUGUUUACACUAGACUGAUGAGUUGCGAACGGGUGAGUAACGCGUAGGUAACCUGCCUCAUAGCGGGGGAUAACUAUUGGAAACGAUAGCUAAUACCGCAUAAGAGUAAUUAACACAUGUUAGUUAUUUAAAAGGAGCAAUUGCUUCACUGUGAGAUGGACCUGCGUUGUAUUAGCUAGUUGGUGAGGUAAAGGCUCACCAAGGCGACGAUACAUAGCCGACCUGAGAGGGUGAUCGGCCACACUGGGACUGAGACACGGCCCAGACUCCUACGGGAGGCAGCAGUAGGGAAUCUUCGGCAAUGGACGGAAGUCUGACCGAGCAACGCCGCGUGAGUGAAGAAGGUUUUCGGAUCGUAAAGCUCUGUUGUUAGAGAAGAACGUUGGUAGGAGUGGAAAAUCUACCAAGUGACGGUAACUAACCAGAAAGGGACGGCUAACUACGUGCCAGCAGCCGCGGUAAUACGUAGGUCCCGAGCGUUGUCCGGAUUUAUUGGGCGUAAAGCGAGCGCAGGCGGUUCUUUAAGUCUGGAGUUAAAGGCAGUGGCUUAACCAUUGUACGCUUUGGAAACUGGAGGACUUGAGUGCAGAAGGGGAGAGUGGAAUUCCAUGUGUAGCGGUGAAAUGCGUAGAUAUAUGGAGGAACACCGGUGGCGAAAGCGGCUCUCUGGUCUGUAACUGACGCUGAGGCUCGAAAGCGUGGGGAGCAAACAGG